rnacentral:rRNA from 1 species
UGGGGAAUUUUGCACAAUGGGGGAAACCCUGAUGCAGCGACGCCGCGUGAUUUAGAAGGCCUUCGGGUUGUAAAAAUCUUUUCUAUGGGAAGAAAAUGACAGUACCAUAGGAAUAAGGACCGGCUAAUUACGUGCCAGCAGCCGCGGUAAUACGUACGGUCCGAGCGUUGUCCGGAAUCAUUGGGCGUAAAGGGUACGUAGGCGGGUAAGCAAGUUAGAAGUGAAAUCCUAUAGCUCAACUAUAGUAAGCUUUUAAAACUGCUAAUCUUGAGGUAUGAAAGGGAAAGUGGAAUUCCUAGUGUAGCGGUGAAAUGCGCAGAUAUUAGGAGGAAUACCGGUGGCGAAGGCGACUUUCUGGCCAUAACCUGACGCUGAGGUACGAAAGCGUGGGUAGCAAACAGG